rnacentral:rRNA from 1 species
CCUACGGGGGGCAGCAGUGGGGAAUAUUGGGCAAUGGGCGCAAGCCUGACCCAGCAACGCCGCGUGAAGGAAGAAGGCCCUCGGGUUGUACACUUCUUUUGUCAGGGACGAAACAAAUGACGGUACCUGACGAAUAAGCCACGGCUAACUACGUGCCAGCAGCCGCGGUAAUACGUAGGUGGCAAGCGUUAUCCGGAUUUACUGGGUGUAAAGGGCGUGUAGGCGGGAGAGCAAGUCAGAUGGUAAAUUCCAGGGCUCAACCCUGGAACUGCAUUUGAAACUGUUUUUCUUGAGUGAUGGAGAGGCAGGCGGAAUGCCGUGUGUAGCGGUGAAAUGCGUAGAUAUACGGAGGAACACAAGUGGCGAAGGCGGCCUGCUGGACAUUAACUGACGCUGAGGCGCGAAAGCGUGGGGAGCAAACAGGAUUAGAUACCCUAGUAGUC